ensembl:lncRNA
UAAAGAACACACGGGAGACGGAAAGAGGGCAUUGAUCUUCAUCUCCUACCUCGCUUCCUGAGGAGUCCCUCCCCUCCGGCUGCAACCACAACAGAAAAAUCCAAUCUUUCAAACUCUGCUGUGACCUUUUGCAGCACUUUAAACUUAGACGAGUACGGGAGCUUCAUUGUUUCAGUGUGAGGAGUCUACAGGAGAACAGGACCGAACUCCUGUCCUGGUUUCUUGGUUCUUCUGCAGAAACACUUCCAGAUAAACGUCCCGAUCAUGCAGAGCUGGUCUCUGGGUGCAGUCUGACCUCGGACUCUGCAGAUCUGCUUCAGACUCCCUGCUCUGUUCAUGCUGCCUUACUGUGCAUGUCACUAAUCUCUAAUCCACAAAUUACCAGAGUCUCCCCCGAAUAGAAUAAAAAAUGAUAAGCUCUAAAUUAGCUUUAAAUGAUUGUUUGAUACUGUGAGGUAUUUUAAAUGUUUGUAAUAACUGUAUUUUAGAGAAACUGGAAAUUAAAGUUGACUAAUCUUUGUAAUAAAUUACUAAUUGAACAAGUUUGUUUGUUCUACUUUAAUGGGAAAGAAAUAUUGAAAUACUUGAUUGUCUUGAGUAUGAAGACGUCUGGGUUUGAUCACCUCCUGAAGGUGAGCUGAUGGAAGCAUGCAUGUGACAUUACUGCAACACCCCCUCCCUCAGGACCGCUGUGUGAAUGAGCAUGAUGGGGUUUGUAAAAAACAAACAAAAGCUGGACAUGGAGUCUAAUAUAACUGUAAAAAAAACUUGAAUUAAUAAAGAUUUUUGUCAGAUCGUUACUAUAAUCUGAUGAUUAUGACAAAUAUUUCUGAUGACAUUUUUUGUUUUGUUUCUCUGGACCUAAUCAUCUUUCAGCAAACAUUUUUACAACAUUUUGACUAUUUUUAGAAUUAAAUUUAGCUAUAAUCUGGUAGAUUUAUAAUAACCGUGUUAAUCUUCAUGUAAAUAGACUGGUGUUGCUUCACUAUAUCAGGUUAAGUUUAUCUUAUCACAUUUUUAUCUGUGAUUUAACACAUGGUCCCUCAUUAUGACAAUCUUUAUUUAACCUAAUUAUCUGAUAACAAUGAUUAUAAUAUAAUAAUCUAGUAAAAUCAACUACAGUUUAUUAUGGGAUGGGGGGUGGUAAGUAACAGCAUUAAUUAAAGAGAAGAUGUUCUUGAACACUAAUGCUGACUGUAAAACACUGAACGUGCUGAAGAAGUGAGUUCUGUGUCAACUCUGUUCAUAUUACCUGAUAGAAAAACUGAAGCUGCAUUUCAUAAAUGGAUGUUGACUUCUUUCUCUUCUGAUUUUCCUCUUUUUCUUUUCUGCUUUGUUUUCCGGACAUUUUUGGUCACAUUCAGAUGUUAAACAUCUCUGAUUUUUUCAGCUAUUUAAAAGUAGUCUAUUAAUUAUUAUUACUUUUUUUUAAAUCUUGUUUUGGGACAAAAUCGGAAAAACUUUCUGUAGAACGGCAGGAGUUCAUUCAAAAUGUUUCCAAGUUAUGAGUGGGAUCAUUGGUGAGAAACAACCCCGCCCCCUUUUCCCCAUCGUGUUUCUGAGAGGUCUCUCUCUCCUACCCACACUCCCAACCAAACAUUUCCAAUGCAACAACAAUGACAAGCAAUAUUACAGAUAUCCAGAUAUAUCGUUUUAUACGAGAUGCCAGUUCGGAUGAGGAAAACAAAGACGUAGGCAGGGCAAGUUUAUUUGUAUAGCACAUUUCAUGUAGAGAGAUAAUUUAAAAGUUAUUCACAUCAAACAUUUAAAUAAACAAUCAAGAGGAAUAGUAAAGCUGUGAUUAAUAAAGUAAAAAGAACUAAAUUUAAAACAAGCAUAGAUAAACAGUGUGGAUGUAAACUUUUGAAUACAUAGUCAAAUUGAAGCUGAGAUCAGGUGAUUCUUUAACCUGAAUUUAAAUAUUUAGCUGAACUAAGGUUUUCUGGAAGUCUGUUCCAGAUCUGUGGAGCAUAGAAGCUGAAUGCAGCUUCUCCAUGUUUGAUAAAAGACCAGAUCCAGAUGACCGGAGAGGUCUGGCCGGUACAUACUGGGUCAAGAGGUCAGUCAUGUAUUUUGGUGCUAAACUAUUCAAAGCUUAAAUAACUUUAUCCUCUGGCAGACAGGUAACCGGUGUAAAGACCUCAGAACUGGACUGAUGUGGUCUACUUUCUUGGUCCUGGUGAGAACGUGAGCAGCCAACAGAGCAGCAGAGUUCUGAAUCGGCCUGAUUGAUAUUUUUGGUAGUCCUAUAAAAACACUGUUAGAGUAAUCAAGUUGACUAAAGAUGAAAGCAUGCUCUUCCUGCUUAGACGUCAAAUCGCUUAAAAUAUAUCCCUUAAAAUAUUUUUGAGAUGAUAGUCGGCUGAUUUUGUGUCUGCCUUAAUGUCCUCAAUGCAUUUACCAAAUGCCUGUACAGAGUCUCGGUCUCUUGGUGUCAGUGUAAUAUAUAUCUGUGUGUCAUCUGCAUAGCCAUGGUAACUAAUCGUGUUGUUCUUUAAAACCUGGGCCAAUGGGAGCAUGUAGAUGUUAAUUAGAAGUGGUCCUCGGAUGGAGCCUUGGUGAACUCCACAUGUUAUCUCUGUUUGUUUAGAUGUGAAGUUACCAAUUGACACAAAAUAUUUCCUGUUUUCCAAAUUGAAACAGUUUAGUACGCGAGACCCACCCAGUUUUCCAGCCGUCCAAGUAGUAUGUAGGUAAAUCCAGUCUCCUAGCAUGUUUUCUACAACACAAAUACAAUCUUUUUCAAACAGCAUAUUCUGAUUCACAACAAUUUGUAUUAAGAAAUACUCAGAAAUGCUACUUUAAGAGUAAUUUUCUUCAUAUAUGUCCUCUUUCUUAAAAAAAAUCACCAUAAGUACACGUUAAAAACAAUAAAAACAACAUUUUCAUCGUAGUUUGUCUUUAAGAACCUUUGUGUUUUAAGGAGUUCAGUCUUCCCUUUACCCAAAACAAAUGGAUCCCAAGGAGGAGAGAGAAACUGGUUUGUUAAAAUAAUAAUAUAUUGUAUCAUUUGUAUAAAAUAUUGACAAGCCACUGGUCUACAUUUUAAUAUAUGCUAGCUUUAUUAAAGUUUGAAAAUAAGUGAAAGUGAAUGUUUCUGGAUUUGUGGCGCCCCCUGAAGGCAUGUUGACCUUUGACCCCAAGACCUGGUGGCUGAAAAUCAUCAGCUGGAAACAGAAAUCGCCAAACAUCAUUAGUUGGCGCAAGAUUUCAGAGUUGUAGCCGCUUUCAUUAAAACUCUUUGCAGUGUUUAGGAUUAGCUUAAAAUGUGUCAAAAGAAGGUAAACAUUUUAUUAAAGUAUAUUAUCUGUAAUGUAAUGUAAGACUUUUACAUUGGAGCUUUGUUUACGAUCGGUCCAUGUCCUCCCUCAGUCCUAAGACUUGCUUUAUAGGUUGAUUGAUUUCUAAAAUGUCCCUAGACUGUAAAUGUGUGUAUUAGUGUGUGAUUGUUCAUACAUAUUUCAAAUGUAAAGAGAACUUCACUGCAACUGGCACUGGUGUGAUAGUUGCAGGAAACGGGCCUCUAGUCACUUAAAGUGCCAAAACCCAUUUGCAUUUUCUUUUACCACAUUAAUAAUGUGUAGAGUGUAUUUCUGAUCAGUUUAAAAUGAUCUUCAAUGAAGAAAGUGUGCUUUUCCUUCAAAAAUAAGAACAUUUGUAUGCGACCUAUAAUGUUUUUGAAUGGUAGUGUGUAAACAAAGUCUUUUAAUGAUUACGAGUAGUUUCACUGUCAUUUAUUUAUUUAUUUUACUUUCAGUUUAAUGUAUUCAUUGAUGGCUGAAAUUGGUUUAUAUAAUUGUUUUGUAAUUUUAUUAUUACAGCAUCCAAUCAUAUUUUAAUGCUUAAAACAAUCAAAUCAAUCAGAAUUAUCUUCUUUAACUUUGUUGUUUUUCGUGGUUCUUUAUGAAUUAUGACUAAAAUUUUAAAUGUUUUCAGAACCAAAAAUGAGUCCAAGAUUUUAGUGGAUGGAGAAAAGGCCCGUCCAGAAGACGAGGACCAGGCGUCGGAUCUGAAUCUCGUGAUCAGAACGCACCUCCAGUGAUGAAGAGAACUGUCAGUGGGGGGGUCGAGGAAGUUGUCAUAACUGAGAUAAAUCAGGAAGUGCCUUCUCAGUGCAGUGCUGACUCUGCAGCUGUCACCUGCUACCUGACCUGGUUUGGUUUGGGUUAUGAUGAUCUGCUGACCCCCCCCCAGACACCUGUUCUCCUGAUCGACGCAUGGU